rnacentral:ncRNA from 2 species
ACAGUAGUCCGCACAUUGGUUA